GCCCAUAUAGUUCUAGUGGUAAAACCUACCCUUGGUAAGGGUAAGUCAUGGGUUCGAUUCCCGUUAUGGGCU
rnacentral:tRNA from 1 species